rnacentral:rRNA from 1 species
UACGGAGGGAGCUAGCGUUGUUCGGAAUUACUGGGCGUAAAGCGCACGUAGGCGGUUAUUCAAGUCAGAGGUGAAAGCCCGGAGCUCAACUUCGGAACUGCCUUUGAAACUAGGUAACUAGAAUCCUGGAGAGGUGAGUGGAAUUCCGAGUGUAGAGGUGAAAUUCGUAGAUAUUCGGAAGAACACCAGUGGCGAAGGCGGCUCACUGGACAGGUAUUGACGCUGAGGUGCGAAAGCGUGGGGAGCAAACAGG